UCGGCAUCAAUGAUGUUUAUAUCCUUUGUUAUCCUUGCACUUUGAUUGCCAUUGAAGAAAACUAUGGGGAAUGUCAAGUCUGAGAUGCUG
rnacentral:snoRNA from 1 species